rnacentral:misc_RNA from 1 species
UACGGAGGGUGCGAGCGUUACUCGGAUUUACUGGGCGUAAAGAGCACGUAGGCGGUUUGUUAAGUCUGAUGUGAAAGCCCUCGACUCAAUCGAGGAAGUGCAUUGGAUACUGGCAAACUAGAGUAUAGGAGGGGUGAGUGGAAUUCCAGGUGUAGAGGUGAAAUUCGUAGAUAUCUGGAGGAACAACGGUGGCGAAGGCGACUCACUGGACUAUAACUGACGCUGAGGUGCGAAAGCGUGGGGAGCGAACAGG